CCUUUUGUCCGAAGUGCCCAAAGUGCCCUUUUUCCGGUCGUUUGUCAGAUUUUACCGUACAAAACUGUUAUACUGUGAUACAAAUCGGGCACUAGGACCAUGCGGAGGCAGCCGCCUCAAGCUGAAGGCUAUUUUCCCUUAGACCCGCCUACAAGCUCACUGAUUGGCUCUGCCGCAUCAUACUAACGUGUGAUUGGUUGUCCUUGCUGUCGCUCUACCUUGUAGCCAUGGAGACGACAAACCGGUGUUUUCCCUGCGGACAGGAGUCUGCGCUGUAAGUUUUUUUCCUGCCUGCUCCACGUCAGCUGGAUAGAUUUUAAUAUCAGAGCUUUUGUUUACGUGUGUUUGAGUCCGUGGCUAGUGUGUGUGGAGCAGAGUCAGGUAGCUGCAUGUCUGGGACAGAAAAUGAGACACGAGAGAGACUUCUCCUGAAGAGUUGCAGAAACUCACAAAGAAUCACGGAUGUUUCUCACUCUAGAUUCUCCGGGUCAUAACUUCUGAAUUACUAAUCAAAUAAAAAUAAUUCAAACGGUUUCUAAAAUUACAUAAAACGAGCUUUCCAACGAGGUAUUACUUGAUGUAAUUCAUGUUACUCCAAAAAUCACUAUUAGUGGGAAACCAGCUUUGCAGCGUCACUGAAAGAAACGGUGCGGACCGCGACGGGAGAGCGGAGAACCAAAGGGAGGAGAUGAUCUGAUCAUCUUCAUCAGCAGCUUUUAUAAAGUUAUGGAAACAAACAUCACAAAUAAAAUCCACCUGGUUGGUCAGGUGUCCCAGAAGGCUGUUUCUGUAGAUGGUGACAUGAGGAGGGACAGAUUACAGUCACACUGGUUUUUAUUUGAUCGCUCAACUGUUUACUAAAUGAUUCAGCUUCAUUCCAGCAUUAUUUAUACCUACAAUAAAUAUUUAUUUAGCUGAAAAUAUAAUGUUAUCAGUGCAGAAUUUUAUUAGUUGACUUUUUGUAAUGAAAUGUUUACAUUUAACCUUUUAUCUGCUUAUUGAUCUUCAUAAUGCUGGUAGAAAUGUAGCUACAGCUGUGAAGUAGCCCAUGAGUGUUAUUUUAUGAUACCUAGUAUUUAUUUUACUGUAUCCCGUUCUCUGGACCAGAGCGUAGACCUGUGGUCACAGACAGGCUGCAGUCAUUAAACUGGUAAUCGUGAGGUCAGGGGUCACACUGUUUUCUGAGUGUUUGCAACACAGUUCUGAGUUUAAAUAGUUAUUUUAACACAGUUUGCUCAAGUCAUUUAGAAGUUCCUGUUUAGUAAUAAAUGCAAAGAAAAUUCAAAUCCGUUUUUUUUAUUUAAGCUGCAGUUUUACGGACUUUAAUAAACAUAAACACAAAUACAAACCAGACACUGAAAGCUGAGGUUGUUCUGAAAAAAGGAGCAGAGUUACAAACAUUUUACACUUUUAUUACAAUUUUAAAGCCAUAAAACAAAAAUACUUGUUAUAUUUAUGGUCAUAAGAGGGUUAAACGUGAUAAAUUUUCCGCCUCCAACAAAGAGAUGGUAAAAGUGAAUGUGAGCAUAAUUAUAUACGUUUUAGUACUUUAUUAUGUAUUUUUUAUUAUUGACUAUUACUCCAAAGAGUUCAGAUGAAGGCAGCUGGACUUCUUUGGUUUCUUUAAAACGUUUCACUUCUCCUCUGAGGAGCUUUGUCAGUUCUAACUGGAAUAUGGGAGAGUCAAGCUCAUAAGCUGUAGCUGUCUGUUGUUAUUUAAAGAGCAGAAACUACUCUGAGUACCCCGCCUCUCCCUCUCCUGAUGAGUCGUUAGCCUCUACUGAUGGUGAGUCAUCGUGUUGAUUAGAUGCAGGAAGGUGUGACCUAGACUGAAACUGAAUGAGAUUAAAAAAAAAGUUCUAAUCUUUUAAACAACGCUGUUGGUCCUCUUGGUCCUUGUUCUGGUUUUCUAAAACCCGGUGUUAAAAACCUUGGUGUGUUUUUAGACGGUUCUUUUAAUCUUUACAGACAGGUGAGUGCAGUGGUCCAAUCAGGUUUUAUCAUUUAAGGCAGAUAGCAAAGGUGAAGCCAUACCUUCCUGCUAAUGUCCUCGAACAUGUCAUCCACCUGUUCGUGUCUUGCCGAUUGGACGACUGCAACUCCCUGUAUUCUGGCCUGGACCAGUCCUCCCCACACCGACUUCAGCUGGUCCAAAAUGCAGCGGCUUGCUUGCUGACUGGAACCAGCAAGUGGGAUCACAUAACCCCGGUUCUGGCCUCUCUCCAUUGGCUUCCUGUCUCUUACAGGAUCCGUUUCAAAAUUUUACUUUUUGUUUUUAAAUCCCUUCAUGGCCUGGCCCCAGUUUACAUCUCUGAGCUGCUGUCCACUUACGUCCCUGCCAGAACCACGAGGUCCAGCUCUAUAGCUCUUUUAACAGUUCCAAAAACCCGCCACAAGACUCGCUGCGACAGAGCGUUCUCUGUGGUUGGGCCCAAACUGUGCUACCUCUCAACAUCAGGACCACACAGAAUCUAGAGCAUUUAAAUCCCUUCUUAAGACGCAAUUUUUUGAUUUGGCUUUUAAUGCAGGCUGACUUGAGCAUCUUAAUAGAUUUUAACAGUUUUUAUCAUAGAUUGUGACUGUUGUGUGCUCUUCUUAUUUUAGGUUUUUAUUGUUGAUCUGUUGUACCCUGAUUUGUUUUACCUUGUACAGCUUUGGUGUAGCUUUGCUGCUGUAAAUGCGCUCUGACCUUGACCAAAGCUGUCACGGUCUGAGGUGGAUUCCUGCUGUCACUCCCUGUCUUUUGAGUUUUCCCUCUGCAGGUGGGCGUGUCUGGAGGUUGACCAAGCUGCAGCAGAUCUGCUCAUCAGCUGGCCAGGGGUAUUUAAGCAGCUGAGACUUCUUCACCUCGCUGGAUGAUUACUCUACCUGGACAAACCUACACACUCAUCUUAGACUGGCAGAACUCUGGAGCCCACACCAUCUGGAACUCCAACCCCGCUCGUCUCUCAGCCUCUCCCCUGGCCAGAACCACCUCCAGCUGCCCACCUAAACUUCCUGGACCUCCACUAGCUCAGCUCCCUCCACGUCUCACUUCUUGGAUCUCAGUCCCUGCAAAGCCUCUCAACCCAGACCGGACCACUCCUCCCUCAAACUAGUUCCAUCCUCUCCAGACCAUUUCCCGCACCAGCUUCCUUGUGCAAGAACUCAGCUACGUUUAUGCUGCUUCCUUGGUUUUCCUUUAAUAAAUCCUUGUUUAAACAUUUCA